CCUACGGGGGGCAGCAGUGGGGGAUAUUGGUCAAUGGACGAGAGUCUGAACCAGCCAAGUAGCGUGAAGGAUGACUGCCCUAUGGGUUGUAAACUUCUUUUAUAUGGGAAUAAAAUGUUCCACGUGUGGGAUUUUGUAUGUACCAUAUGAAUAAGGAUCGGCUAACUCCGUGCCAGCAGCCGCGGUAAUACGGAGGAUCCGAGCGUUAUCCGGAUUUAUUGGGUUUAAAGGGAGCGUAGGUGGAUUGUUAAGUCAGUUGUGAAAGUUUGCGGCUCAACCGUAAAAUUGCAGUUGAAACUGGCAGUCUUGAGUACAGGAGAGGUGGGCGGAAUUCGUGGUGUAGCGGUGAAAUGCUUAGAUAUCACGAAGAACUCCGAUUGCGAAGGCAGUUCACUGGACUGCAACUGACACUGAGGCUCGAAAGUGUGGGUAUCAAACAGGAUUAGAUACCCUUGUAGUC
rnacentral:rRNA from 1 species